UACGUAGGGUGCGAGCGUUAAUCAGAAUUACUGGGCGUAAAGCGUGCGCAGGCGGUUUUGUAAGACAGGCGUGAAAUCCCUGGGCUCAACCUAGGAAUGGCGCUUGUGACUGCAAGGCUAGAGUGCGGCAGAGGAGAAUAGAAUUCCGCGUGUAGCAGUGAAAUGCGUAGAUAUGCGGAGGAAUACCGACGGCGAAGGCAAUUCUCUGGGCCUGCACUGACGCUCAUGCACGAAAGCAUGGGGAGCAAACAGG
rnacentral:rRNA from 1 species